GAGCAACCUCCAAACAUUUGGAGUGAAUUGGCGUGACUUCUCUACUCCCGCGUGAAGCAAUGUUUUGUUUUGAAGAUUGCUGCGUGACUACAGCUUUAUUUACACAUAUAACCUAUAUCUCCAGAUUGUUGCUCCGAAAAUAACCCCACGCACAGGAAGCAACGAUGCACAACGCAAACCACCGCUGCAAUGGAGAUAAGUAGGAGAGCAAAUGAGAGAGAGGACCCAUGGGCGUUCCAGGUGCUCAAGGUCUGAGUGGACGCAAAGGAGAGAGAGGACCCAUGGGCGUUCCAGGUGCUCAAGGUCUGAGUGGACGCAAAGGAGAGAGAGGACCCAUGGGCGUUCCAGGUGCUCAAGGUCUGAGUGGACGCAAAGGAGACAAGCUGGAUGUCCCCUCAUCGACAGCUGGAGAGCGAAUGAGCCGGUGGAGUAGGAGGAGGACUUAUUUAUGAGAGCUCUACAGGGGGUGGAGCUUCGGUUCCCCUGCAGUGUCACAACGGACCCCUCAGCCCAACCACGCAAGACAAUCUGGAUGUCCCCUCAUCGACAGCUGGAGAGCGAAUGAGCCGGUGGAGUAGGAGGAGGACUUAUUUAUGAGGGCUCUACAGGGGGUGGAGCUUCGGUUCCCCUGCAGUGUCACAACGGACCCCUCAGCCCAACCACGCAAGACAAUCUGGAUGUCCCCUCAUCGACAGCUGGAGAGCGAAUGAGCCGGUGGAGUAGGAGGAGGACUUAUUUAUGAGAGCUCUACAGGGGGUGGAGCUUCGGUUCCCCUGCAGUGUCACAACGGACCCCUCAGCCCAACCACGCAAGACAAUCUGGAUGUCCCCUCAUCGACAGCUGGAGAGCGAAUGAGCCGGUGGAGUAGGAGGAGGACUUAUUUAUGAGAGCUCUACAGGGGGUGGAGCUUCGGUUCCCCUGCAGUGUCACAACGGACCCCUCAGCCCAACCACGCAAGACAAUCUGGAUGUCCCCUCAUCGACAGCUGGAGAGCGAAUGAGCCGGUGGAGUAGGAGGAGGACUUAUUUAUGAGAGCUCUACAGGGGGUGGAGCUUCGGUUCCCCUGCAGUGUCACAACGGACCCCUCAGCCCAACCACGCAAGACAAUGUAAAUAUGGUUGUUCUUUUGUGCCUCAA